UCCUGCUCAAUGGCUUGCUAAAUAGCCGCAGUACAUUGACUGUGCAAAGGUAGCAUAAUCAGUUGGCUUAUAAUUGAAGUCUCGUAUGAAUGGAGCAUUGGGUGUAUACUGUCUUAAAUUAGUUAACAUAACUUGCUCAAUAAGUGUAAAUACUUAUGCUUAAAUAAUAGACGAUAAGACCCUAGAAAUUUCCUACAAUGUAAAUCUUUUUAUUACUAUUUUGCUGGGGCGGCAGAAUAACACAGCAACUUAUUUUUUUUUAUUCGAAGGUGUCAGAGAAAUGAUAAUUACUCUAGGGAUAACAGCAUAAUUAUUAAUAGAUUGUGACCUCGAUGUUGGACUAGGGAUUAUAUUACCUAGCCGGUAAGUAUAUUCGCUCUGUUCGAGCAAGAAUUCCU
rnacentral:rRNA from 1 species